rfam:Crassostrea gigas strain 05x7-T-G4-1.051#20 contig23139, whole genome shotgun sequence.
ACAAAAGCCCUUUUCAGGGCUACCAAUAUUUUUCGAAAAGAUGUCU